GACGAACCGAGCGAACGUUGUUCGGAAUCACUGGGCUUAAAGGGCGCGUAGGCGGGCUGUCAAGUCUGGGGUGAAAUCCCGCGGCUCAACCGUGGAACUGCCUUAGAUACUGACGGUCUCGAGGGGGAUAGGGGCGAGCGGAACUAAUGGUGGAGCGGUGAAAUGCGUUGAUAUCAUUAGGAACUCCGGUGGCGAAGGCGGCUCGCUGGAUCUCUUCUGACGCUGAGGCGCGAAAGCCAGGGGAGCAAACGGG
rnacentral:rRNA from 1 species